UACGGAGGGUGCAAGCGUUAUCCGGAUUCACUGGGUUUAAAGGGUGCGUAGGUGGGCUGGUAAGUCAGUGGUGAAAUCUCCAGGCUUAACUUGGAAACUGCCAUUGAUACUAUCAGUCUUGAAUAUCGUGGAGGUAAGCGGAAUAUGUCAUGUAGCGGUGAAAUGCUUAGAGAUGACAUAGAACACCAAUUGCGUAGGCAGCUUACUACACGAUCAUUGACGCUGAGGCACGAAAGCGUGGGGAGCAAACAGG
rnacentral:rRNA from 1 species